UAUGGGGCGAAAAAUACGAUAAUCAAACUGGAACAAUGUGGAGAAGAUUAGCAUGGCCCCUGUGCAAGGAUUCAUGAAAAGUUCCAUAUUUUU
rnacentral:snRNA from 1 species